rnacentral:lncRNA from 1 species
UACGACCUUGAGCUGCUCAAGGACAAGCACAGACCAAGGGAUGCUCUCUGGACGAAGAUGCUCCAAGAGAAAAUGAAUACGCAGCAGAGGCAGAGGAAGACCCCCAGCCUUGGCUCUCAGCGGGACCUGGAGAGCCAGCGGAGAGAGGACAAGAUUAUCUGUAAAUCAGAUAAGAAGGAUUCUCAAAGUAAAAGAUAUCUUAGUCGCUUACAUCAGAUGUAUUCCACUUCGCUCGCCAACAUGGAGUUCUCCAGGAGCCUGCUGGAGGCGAGCCGCCGGGGUGCAGACGUGGGCGCGGACGGCAGAGCCAGCGGUCUGUGGGACCCCGCGCUCCUCAGUGGACAUGGGCAGCGCCAGGUGCGGCCCCCGGAGAGGCGGCCUGACGGUGCCCGCCGGGCCGCUGGUCGUCAGCGCGAAGCCCGGCCUCCUCUCGUCUUCCUGAGACGCGAAAGCCUGCCCGGCAGGAAGAAGGAUUCCAAUGAGAAGGCAAGAGGACACGCAGCAGCCCUGGGUGGCAUGAGUAACCUUCCAGAACAAAUGAGGAGUAAGCCUGCCUCUCCAGGGAUGACCACAGCACCCCUCACCCUGGAACAAGCAAGUCAGAAGUCCCGUGUUCUGGUGGGCUCCUCUCUUUUCUCUGCCCAGACAGUUAGAGGGUGUGGUUCCCAGGAGAUCGAAGAACAAGUUAAAGCAGGAGUACAAGCCCCAGAUGCCCGAGUUGGGAGGUUGGGGUCAGAGCAGGACGCUGAGCUGAAGAUUAGAGUCGUAGCAGCUCUGGGCAGUGCCUGA